rnacentral:rRNA from 1 species
UACGUAGGGACCAAGCGUUGUUCGGAUUUACUGGGCGUAAAGGGCGCGUAGGCGGCAUGACAAGUCACUUGUGAAAUCUCUGGGCUUAACCCAGAACGGCCAAGUGAUACUGUCGCGCUAGAGUGCGGAAGGGGCAAUCGGAAUUCUCGGUGUAGCGGUGAAAUGCGCAGAUAUCGGGAAGAACACCCAUGGCGAAGGCAGCUCUCUGGGACGGUACUGACGCUGAGACGCGAAAGCGUGGGGAGCGAACAGG